rnacentral:misc_RNA from 1 species
UCAUUUCAACCAGUUUCAGUUGAUGGUGACACAUCUGUUGAAAACCUAUGUGGCAAGAGUGUAUUUGAGUCUCAAGAACUUGCUCAGGAGGCCUCAAAAGAUGAAUCAGACCGCUUUGAUGACAAGGUCAUUGAUAAUAUUCAAAUGAAUGGUACGAGUGUGGAAGACAAAUUGGCCAAUAGAGAAGAGUUGAAUUUGGAGGUAGUCAGUGGAAAUAUAAAGGAAUCAUCUUUAGAUGAUCAUGCAGUAGGAUUAGAUGCUAUAGAGAAGGGGGGCC